GUUUAGCAGUUUAGCAUUCAAGCUUGUUUCGGUGACAUUGUUUUCAAUUCCAGUUUAUUAAGGAAUGUCCGGAAACUACCAAAUAAUUUAUAAGUUACAAAAUAAAUGCUAAUAAAGAAUUGAUCGGAUCAGAAAGUAAAAAGGAAGGUGAAGGUCAAAACAAAUAAGUUCCAAAUGGGCCACAAAAGCUACAAAGUGGCAGCCCAAUUCACAAGCAUAUGGCGCACACCAUAUAACAAGUGAUGGCCGCCACAUGUGCUAUUUCAUAGGCACAUAAUUAGAUUAAUUAACAUGUGAAGGAAGACCACACAAUUACGUGUCCUUGCCACACUCUGUCUUUGCAGCAUACACUUACCAGUUUGUUCCGAAUCUCAGGCAGAAAAAGACGGACUGCAACAGAAAAAAUAUCUCCUCUUCUCGGUCUAUAAAUAGAAGACCAUCUGUGUUAUUUUUUUUCACACACGCUUCAUUAUCAGAAUUUAAGAGCAGAUAGAAAAUAUUUUACUUUCCUGUUUUCCAUUCAGUUUAGCAUUCAAGCUUGUUCCGGUGACAUUGUUUUCAAUUCCAGUUUAUUAAGGUUCUAAUCUCUUGUUCUAUUUAUUUUAUUUUAUUUAUUUGUUACAACUUGUUCACUGUUCUUUUAAUUCAGUCACUGUUUGUUUAA